GACGAACGCUGGCGGCGUGCUUAACACAUGCAAGUCGAACGGUGAACCGGGCUUCGGCCCGGGGAUCAGUGGCGAACGGGUGCGUAACACGUGGGCAACCUGCCCCAGACUCUGGGAUAACUCCGGGAAACCGGGGCUAAUACCGGAUACUCCGAUCGGACGACAUCGUCUGACCGGGAAAGCUCCGACGGUCUGGGAUGGGCCCGCGGCCUAUCAGCUUGUUGGUGGGGUGAUGGCCUACCAAGGCGACGACGGGUAGCCGGCCUGAGAGGGCGACCGGCCACACUGGGACUGAGACACGGCCCAGACUCCUACGGGAGGCAGCAGUGGGGAAUCUUGCGCAAUGGGCGAAAGCCUGACGCAGCGACGCCGCGUGAAGGAUGAAAUCCCUCGGGAUGUAAACUUCGCAAGAACGGGAAGAAUAAGUAGGGGACAAUACCCCCUAUGAUGACGGUACCGUUUGUAAGCUCCGGCUAACUCCGUGCCAGCAGCCGC
rnacentral:rRNA from 1 species